AACGAACGCUGGCGGCAGGCUUAACACAUGCAAGUCGAACGCCCCGCAAGGGGAGUGGCAGACGGGUGAGUAACGCGUGGGAACGUGCCCUUCGCUUCGGAAUAGUCCCGGGAAACUGGGUUUAAUACCGGAUACGCCGUAUUGGGAAAGAUUUAUCGGCGAAGGAUCGGCCCGCGUUGGAUUAGCUAGUUGGCGGUGUAAUGGACCACCAAGGCGACGAUCCAUAGCUGGUCUGAGAGGAUGAUCAGCCACACUGGGACUGAGACACGGCCCAGACUCCUACGGGAGGCAGCAGUGGGGAAUCUUGGACAAUGGGCGCAAGCCUGAUCCAGCCAUGCCGCGUGAGUGAAGAAGGCCUUAGGGUUGUAAAACUCUUUCGCCGGAGAAGAUAAUGACGGUAUCCGGAGAAGAAGCCCCGGCUAACUUCGUGCCAGCAGCCGCCGUAACAC
rnacentral:rRNA from 1 species